rnacentral:misc_RNA from 1 species
UUCAAACUUUUAUUAAUUCUCAAUAAUAAUCAUAAUAAUAAUCUAUAUUAAAAUCCCUAGAUGACACGUAUUUAUAGUAAAAUAACUAGUCUUAUUACUAUUAGGAUUAGGAAUCCCUAAACAAUUAAAUUUCUAAAUAAAAUUAAAUACUAAUACCUAAAUAUACUAGAAUUCCCAAAUAAUAAAAAUCUAAAUUUCCUUAUUCUACAAUUAAGUUUAGUAUUCCAAUACUACAUCAUUCUCUCCUGGUUGGAGAAAAUUCAACCUCAAGUUUUGUAGUGCAGAAGAAUAAGGAUGCUGCAUCACAUAGUUUUCCUUAUAAAAUAAUAAUAAGAAAAAAAAAUCCAUUGUCAAUACAUGAGCCUGUGUAUCAUAAAACAGCAUCAUCAACAUAGUUUCUGCAACUAAAGAAAUAGACUGGCA